AUAACACAACAUCAGCAUAUGGGUCAAUGACGUGACGGGUCAAUUUUUUUUUUGUCCAAAGGCCUUAAUAAUAAUAAACAAAGAUAUGACAUCCAAAGUAUGUAAGGUAGUACAACUAGAUCUCUUAUUGAAUCCAAAAGGUUUUGAUUAUAUUUUGCAGCAUAUAAAAAGGUAUUUUAAAGAUUUUAAAGUGUCAAAAAGUCAUUCGGUUUAACCGUCCAAAGGCCAAUACAGCCAUUUCAUUUGUGAUUAAAAUAUCUUAAUGUAAUAAAUGUAUAUAUUUUUUAUUCUGGCAUGAUUUUAUAACAAUAUAUAUUAACAUAGUGCAAAAUGGUGUUAAAAUUAUGAGUAAAAGUCAUUUUAUUAUGAGAAAGAACGUCCGGAAAAAUGAAUUUCAUUGAUGUAAUUCGGAGUAACCAAUAUAAAGGGACCAUUUUGGAGUAAAUCAUGCGGUCAAUAUCAUGUGACAGGAUGUGACAUCAUUCAGACACCUGCAAAGGACCACAUGGUCGUGAAGCAAAGUAACUAACUCUCUCUUAACUAUUUGAAAAAUUCAUGUUUUCACUUGAUCAUACGCAUGUUCGGUACAACCGUUAUAAAACAUGGAAAAUGUUUUAAUAUUUCAAAAACUCGUACUAAAUAUAAAAUGUUUGUCUUUUUACUAGUUAGUUAGCAAACAUUUUACUAGCUAGCAAGUUAGAUAUCAGCCUGUUAGCAUUGUUUGAAAAUAUCGUCAUUUGGUAUAACCAAAAGUGUCAUUCGGUAAAACCAAAAUUUUGGUUAAACUGAAUGAUUUUUUUUUGGUGACAAAUUUUGUCCAUCUUGUAAAAAAAAAAAAAAAAAGACAAAA